CCGGGAAGUAAGCUUUCUAGGAGUCGAUACGUUCUCUAAGGGGUGAGAGCAGGCGCCCACCAACCGCUUUCUUGGUGGCUCUCAGACUUGGGGAUUGAUCUCCCUCCUGGCUGGGCAGACGACCGGGGGAGGGGAACUUGGAGAAACAGAAAUAAGACAGAGAAAAAGCUCCAGUAGUUGUACAGGUGCAAAAGCCCCUGCCGGGUGGAGAGACCAGUCACCAGCCUUAAAGGAGUGGGUGGACGAGAGAGAGAAAGAAAAAUACUUUACAAAUUGA
rnacentral:lncRNA from 1 species